CAAGUCCAAAUCCCCUCAUCUGUCUUCCGAAGGGAGCCUCACAAAUCUGAGAUAACCAAACACCCACCGGCCACCAGCUCCUAGGGUUUCUCCUUCACCCGCUGCAGCCGCCACCUGCCUGAUCUCCGGCCACCGGCGUCCAUCCUCUACUCUGGCCGGUGGUUUGAGAUCUGCCUCGCCUCUGAAGUACUCCGUCCAUAUCUCCCCCUCCCACCUCCGAAUGUGUGGAAAUCUUCCACCAAUUUGCAUCUCCCGUCAAGCAAUGGAUGCCGUCUAAGCUGCCUCUCCUGCUGCUUGGCGCAACUUCUCCACGGACGCCACUAGAUGCCCCUCCUGCCACCGUACCUGCAUAGUCAACAAAGGGCAACGGUUGGUUCUCCCUCCAACGAGGACAUCUUUGCCACCAUCGGCGUCGUCCUACUUUUACUCCCCUCCUGAACCGAGGUUUCUGCUUCCAGGGAGGGAGGGAGAUGAGGCGCUGAUACUGGAAGAGGUGUGAGGUGUCCAAGCACAACACCAAGGACAGACUGCUGGCUCAUCAUUUUUGGCAACAACUUCAAAAGUGCAACCUGGUGGAUUCCCAAGCCGGCGAAGAAGCACUUCAUGACGUGGAUAACUCCCAACUGAAGGAUGUCCCUCAAUUUAAAAUUGGCUACUCAGAUGAAGUGGAACAGUGGAAGACGGACGACGUUGUGAAUAAUUUAAUUUGUGUUCUUUAAUGUGCUCCAUUGAAGCCACAAUGAUUCCAGCUGUGUGCAAUAUAUUGGUUGUACAAUACUAACACUGGAUUUGUAUUGGAGUUGAAGGCUGAACUAGUUUAUGUGAUGCAUGUUUGUAAAGUAUCUGCCAUGAUGCGUAUUGGUGAAAUGAGCGGAACUAUUUAUUAUAAUGUGUUUUUUGUUGGAA